UUGGCCAAAGAACUUAACUUUGGAAAAAAGUACUAUUGACUAAAAAACAACGAAAAGAAUUUGACCAAAAAGGCAACUAUGGAGAAAAUCACUGUGGGGGAUUCAUAACAUUCUUUCCUUGAACACAAUCCAUUUGGAAAUUUUAAAAAUUUGAUUCUUUAGAUUCUGUGGCGGAAUUUUCUAAGAAAUUGUCAUUCCUCUUCAUUUAGUUCAUACUAUAAAAAUCUUUUCUUCUCUCUCGAUGGUUUUGUCGCUCUGCGGAGAUUCAUUUACCAUUUGAAAAUUAUUCAUUGGCAUUAUUUUUUCCAAGACGAGGGCUUUCAGGGAAAAUUGAUUAUUGAAAAGUGCCAAAGGCCGGGUGAAUUAGGUUGACUUACUAAGGAAAGUUUCGUCGGAUCAAAACAUCAUAUUAGCUGGUCCUAGAAGCAACAUGAACAUGAAUCACCCUCAUCCAUAUGGUGAAGAUCAAGAUGAAGCCACUGUCAUGGGCUUUGAAGUUGCAAGAUCACCUGAUGCAAGUUACAACAAUGUGUAUCCUGGGCAUGAAGAUGUAGGGAGGGAACCACCAGCGGUACCGCCACAUCUGCAUCACACCUUGCUAAACCACCCAACAACAAGAGAUCAAUCGACAUCCCUACCGUUGCCACAGAAUGUGGUGCUAAACCAUCUCUAUAUUGAGAACAGAGAAGCCCCGAGGUCAGUUGUAGCACUUGGUGUAACACAUCGUUUUCGCUCAAAAUAUGUUACGGUCAUGCUUUACAAGCCCGUUCAACGAAGGUGAGCUAGCAUGUCGAACAUGCCUGAAUGUAUACACCAUCUUUGGCUUGUACUCUGAUGGAAAACAGUAGACGUAAAUACACAGCAGUCUGCAGUGGAGAAUGAUUAUUUCUUCCCUGCUGCUAGAAGAAGGAAAAUAUGGUAGCAGGUAUCCUUGGACUUGAAUAAUUGUAGUUAGAUGUUCGAUGGUUUUAAAAAAUGUACAUGUAUUAUGGCAAAAAGUUAGUGAUGUCCCUGUUAGUUUGGCUUAGCAAUUAUGUAGCAUUGUGCGGUUAUUGGACUUAAGAAUUUGGGAAGUUUACAUGUAAUAUGGCAAGAAGUUACUGAUGUCCCUAUUAGGUUAGCUUACGAUUCUGCUUAUGGAGUUAAA